AACGAACGCUGGCGGCAUGCCUAACACAUGCAAGUCGAACGGAGCCUUCGGGCUUAGUGGCGCACGGGUGCGUAACGCGUGGGAACCUGCCUUUCGGUUCGGAAUAACAGUUAGAAAUGACUGCUAAUACCGGAUGAUGUCUUCGGACCAAAGAUUUAUCGCCGAAAGAUGGGCCCGCGUAGGAUUAGCUAGUUGGUGGGGUAAAGGCCUACCAAGGCGACGAUCCUUAGCUGGUCUGAGAGGAUGAUCAGCCACACUGGGACUGAGACACGGCCCAGACUCCUACGGGAGGCAGCAGUGGGGAAUAUUGGACAAUGGGCGAAAGCCUGAUCCAGCAAUGCCGCGUGAGUGAUGAAGGCCUUAGGGUUGUAAAGCUCUUUUACCAGGGAUGAUAAUGACAGUACCUGGAGAAUAAGCUCCGGCUAACUCCGUGCCAGCCGCCGCCGUAAGAC
rnacentral:rRNA from 1 species